UUUACUUCCAGUAACUCAGCUACUUUAUGUCUAUAAGUUCUCCCCUCUGCCAUUAAAUACCGCGGCAUUUCAAUGGUCUAUACACGAGUACAACAUUAAAUGCAAAUAUAGACUAGUUCGUGUAAAGGAUCCGAGUUAUGAACAAGCACUAUUACAAAGUAUGCGUAGUUAUGCAGGUACAUAAUGUGACGUUCGACGAAGCGGAGUAGGGGAAGUAGCGAAGACGAAUGAGGAUAACGUUCCCGGCAUUUAUGUAUUACGUAUUUAUUGAUAAACACGGUGAUUUUACUGUUGCGCAAUUGCUUCGGGAAUAAUACUAUUGCUUCUUUCUUAAAUAUAAUAACAUCUAAAAACAAGAGAUCAAAGUAAAACUUAAAGUUGCAUGUAAUUCGAAAGAGGAAAAUGAAAGGUGCAAAGUGGAAACUGUUCAUGUGAAUAGAUUAAAAUUGAUUGCACCAGGACCUCGACAUUUACGGACAAAUCAUGUUUUGUUGUUGGGCAGUAGCUACGCAUAUACGUCAACAGAGAUCAUUCGUAACUUUGGAAACGAUCUUGGGAAAUUCUAGAGAAAUGAACACGUGCCAGAUUUCUACGGACAAGGUUACAUACAUACAACCUCUUUCCUCAGCGGCUCACCAACAUUUUUACGGCACUACGUGUGGCACGUGCUAAUGAGUAACGUCGCACGGGAAACGCCAGGCUACUCACUGGAUGAGUCCUCCAUAAAAAUUCAGUUAAUUGUGAGAAACGAUUGACUACAUAGAUACUAUCACGCAAUCGUAACCCGGCAAAAAGAAUAUCCGCAUGCCGUGAGAUUACGUGUGCAAAAGUUUCCGACAACUGGCACCGCCGCGUAAGAAAAACAAAAGUGUUUAUAAUCAAUCUAUGAAUAUUUUAUUAAGGUAAAAACCGUACCGACCAUUGCUAAAUAUGUAUACACUCACGGGCACUCGAAAGCGUUAUCUUAUACGUAAAAGUAAGCAAAGCAUUACCAUAUUCUGUUCAGGAUACAUUAUUAUAGUUCCAGGAUACUGUUGAUAAUUACGAUAUCGAACUAUCAUGUUAGCCGUUAUCGCAGGUAUUAAGUGGCCAAGCCGAUAGACGGAGGAAUGGUAAACUUAUUUUCGACGAGGUCGCGUUUCGAUGAAAUGCAUACGUAUACGCGAAUAUACGGGCCGCGUGGUUUCCAAUAAUACGAAUCACGAGGGAAAAGUUAACGCAAGCCGAGGAGGGUUCCACCUAUUUCCUGGUGGACAGUACGCGGGCUUACAGUGUGCAUACCUUCGUCAAACGUGAAAGUAAAAUGUUCCGCUUUUUCCCUAUUCGAAAUUGUUUGCCAAGGAAUCGGUAUGCCGUUUAAACGGAAGGGACCGCGGAACAGUGGCAGGUGAUAAAAGCUAAACCGCGUAGGAUGUUGCACGCGAUCAGCGAAGGUCCGACCACGAUUACACCGAUAUUCCGAGCAGUUACAGCAUCCCACGAUCAAUUGCAUUACAAUUACCCAUGAUAUUCCUUCCAAUAGGAGAGAAAAUAUUCGUACACUGUGUUUGUUCCACUUGCCGUUCACUUUUCACCUCGCGUGUGUGUUUUACGUGCUACUUCGGGAAACGGCUGCGAAUCGUCGGUAUACAUUUCCUCUUCGCGCGCGAUAUUUAGGAAAUAAACACCGCGUGAUCGUCGGUAUGCCUCGGGCACCAAUAAUUGCACAAUCGUUAGCGAGAUGUUAGCCCCGGCGAACGAGGCCUCGCAUUUGAAUAAACCUUGCCGAUUUUCGAUACGUUCACCAAUUUUGAUCGGACGAUCGAUUCAAGUUUUCACCACUGGAAAUCACACUACCGUUACGAUAAUGCUAAUUUAAUUAUGAUCUCCAUUGACAAUGAUUGAACAACGGUUAUAUUCUUGUUUAUAAUUAGACAGGUAGACUUUUACCGGUUAGAUGGACGGUAAACGAAUGUUCCCGUUAUUUGAUCACUUUUCAUCGAUCGAUCCACACGUCAGUGUAUUAUUCCAUGCUGAUGGAAUAAAUAUGUGCACACGUUGACAAUUUCGAACGGUAUAUGGACGGACCGAAACACACCGUGCCGUAUUGUUUCUUCCUUCGAGAGCAACAGCAUACUGUGCGUUCUACUCGCUUGGAGUGGCACGUUACAUACCAGUGACAGGCAACGAAGAGAGGGCUAGAGCAACGCGUCGCAUGUGCAAACGCGUCACAAGUCCCGGAGAAGACGUACAGUUGACAAGAAAUUAAGUACUAUUUGGAUAAGUGUACCUGUGUAUAUUAAAUGAUAAGAAAUUUAAUAAUUACACAAAGAGUGUUGAGGUUACAUAUUAACGCUAGAUUGACGGAAAUUUACUAUACAGUUUGUUCUAUCAUUUUUAGAAAGAUCGAUACUCGUUCAUUUAGAUCUUGGAAAUUAGAAAUUUAAAAGUAGAUAAUUAGGACACAUAUUUAUGUAACUACAUCAAUCAAAGUCGACCCAAACAUUUACCAAAUAAUGUUUAUAAAAUUCAAUAUCAGUCAAAUUGGCUCGUUCCGUAAAUCUAAUGUUAAGAAUAUUAACACUUUGCCACGGCGUUCACCGAUGAUCGGAGCUUUAAAAUUAUAAGAAAAUAAUUAUGACUUGGAAGAUAAUUGAUUUCGAAUACAAAUUUUCCGUAACGUAAAUAACUAGAAGAUAGGGGAAUAUAAAAAUUUUCAUAUCAAAGAAUUAAUAAUUCUUGCUUUGCAUCUUUGCUAUAGAAAGGAUAAGUGAUACAUAAAACGCUGAUGUUUUUUGUGGUAGUCAAUGUGUUAAACUUCGACGCUAGAAGGAAUUUCAAGUUUAUCUCUACUGAACGUUAGAUGAUACUUUCAAGACGAUUGGAACAAAGUUAAAGUAAAUAUAAUAGUUUAACACGUUUAGUGCGAUGUCACUUGUGUGGAUAAGGCGUAAUUCAGUUUUAACCGAAAAGUUCAUGUUUAUAAGAGGAUAUUAAAUAAAAGUAAUCUGUUUAAACUUCUUAAUACCUUAAUAAGCUUAUUCAAUAUGAUUAGAAAAAUUAAGCCUACUCAACUCUAUGAAAAUAUCUUCUCAAAAUGAAAAUGUUCAAUUCAAUCAUUUUCGUAUUUAAAUUGUCUAUUUUAUUCGAAUAAUAAUUCGCUCAGGUAUUUCAAAAGCGGUUAUGUAUAUUAUAAGUUACAUUAUCACAUGUUAUUAAAUGUCGCUGGGUAAACGCAAUUUAGCUACCGUAUACUGCUGAGUAUAAGCAACUUUUAUCUGCUACCACAUAAACCUGUUUUAUAUUUCAUGAUCCGUUGACAGGCCGACUGCAGUGUAAAACUCAACCCUACGUUGCUUAAUAUUAAAUCGUGCGAUUAAUGCUUACGAAGCCAUUACUCCAUACUGUAUCUUUCAACAGAUUUCAUUUAUUAAAUUACAAUUACCAUCAAUCAAUUUUUACAAUAUAAAGAAAAAGCUUCUAAUAGAAGUUCAAAUACUUUGCUGAGUAACACGUUGUACUACAAAGUUUGUUAGCGCUCGUCCUACUUCGAGACUACCCCGGUAUGAUACAUAGUAGCGAUACAAUUAUAUCUCGCGCAUCAAAUUUCUUUCACCAACCAAAAUUAGCACUACCAUAAGUAAUCUGUUAUCUAUACUACUAAACAAUUUACAGGUUAAUGAAAAUCUCAGCUCCAUUGAAAUAAAUAAUUCCUUUAUUUUGUAAAUACAUUUUGCAUUUGUUAAAUUAUCAUUAUUGAGAUUAUGUAAUGACUAUUACAUAAUCACUGAAUAUUGAAUGGACAUACGGUCAUUAAGAUAAUUGCGUUGACUCUUACCGAUACUAGAGUGUAACCCCCGUUUACGUUCUUGGAAUAGACCCACGUAUGCUGAAAUUCUCACUGCACAGGUUCUGCCUGAUCAAUAUCAGACGGCAAAAACUGGUAUCAACAAGAUUAAUGGCAACGUAAUAGAAUCAUACGCGUACGUCAUUGACGUUUUACCCUAUGCAACUUUCUACAUCGCCGGGUACACUUGAAAAAAAAGGGCAGAAGGCCAGUGCGUACCCGUUUGGGUAUGUUUUGCCGGCGGUUAACCAUGCAGUACCUAAUUAAUCCAUCAUUGGUUCGAUGAUCUUCCAAGAUCAAGUUACAAGGUUUACACGUGGAACAGGAACAGAUUGGAGUGACAUUACUUCCAGAAUAUUUUCGCGAAAUUACCAUUAAAGAUACGGAAAUGCAACGUAUGCUGAAGGUUAUUACAACACUAAUGGCGCAGUUAAUUACUUAUUCAAUCGAGCUUUUUAUUUGGUAAGGUGUUCAGUAUAUAGAAAAAUUCUGUAAAAGGUUUAUGACAUAUUAUAUGAUGAAGGUAGACAACAUUAACGCAUUCCGUGCCAUGGAAAUUUCGGUUAUAUUUUGCUUAUGAACUGUAUUCAUUUUUUAAAUAAAAUAUUAACUUAUAUUCAAGUUUCUGGACAUUUUUAUAUAUUUUGAUAUUGUUCUUUUAUGUUAUCGCUGCUUUAUAACGCAUACCACCAUCCGUGACCAUGUGUCCCUUAAAAAUAUUUUCUUUCAGAAAUUGGCGUGUACCAUAUAUGGUACACAUGACAUUGAACGUGUUAAUCAUAAAAAAUUGUAUAGCGAACGUAAAUCGUGAUUAAGUAGCACCAAUUGAAACGAUGUAUGCAACAAUGUAAAUACUGUUCUUAAUAUUCAGUAGGUCAAUUAUCAACGCAUAAUUUUCCAUGCGAUGUACUGCCGGAAGAAAAUACGUAUCAAGUUAGAGUGAAUACACGCGUCGGUGAUGCUAGGAAUCAAUAGAUAAAUUCAAUUUUCCAAUUAUGUCAAGCUUGUUUCGAUAGGGGUGUACGAUAUUUUGCAAUGCAGAAUUAAAUGAAAUCAACGUUGCUUUACAUUUGUGUAAAGUUCCACGUUAAGGAUAAGCGUCCCUAAUGCAGAAAUUACAUUUGAAUAAUUAUAAUUGGUAAUUGAUAAUAUUGAGGGACAAGUUUAUUUGCAGCUGCAAUUGAAGAAGUGCGUUGACACUUGAAUAAGUAAAGACAAUGGAGAAGGAACGGGACGUGGAAAUGAAGUUAGCAAGGGUAAAGUAUGCACAAG